GAUGAAGAACGUAGCGAAAUGCGAUAAGUAAUGUGAAUUGCAGAAUUCAGUGAAUCAUCGAAUCUUUGAACGCACAUUGCGCCCCCUGGUAUUCCGGGGGGCAUGCCUGUUCGAGCGUCAUUUCACCACUCAAGCCUCGCUUGGUAUUGGGCAUCGCGGUCCGCCGCGCGCCUCAAAUCGACCGGCUGGGUCUUCUGUCCCCUAAGCGUUGUGGAAACUAUUCGCUAAAGGGUGUUCGGGAGGCUACGCCGUAAAACAACCCCAUUUCUAAGGUUGACCUCGGAUCAGGUAGGGAUACCCGCUGAACUUAAGCAUAUAAUAAGCGGAGGA
rnacentral:misc_RNA from 1 species